GCAGAACAUGCAUAAUGCUUUCAACUCAUCACUCCAACAGAUCAUUUAAUUCAUCCUUCAUUCAGUUCAGUCAUCCAUUCAGUCAUCCUUCAUUCAGUUCAGUCAUCCAUUCAGUCAUCCUUCAUUCAGUUCAGUCAUCCAUUCAGUCAUCCUUCAUUCAGUUCAUCAUCCAUUCAGUCAUCCGUCUGAGUUGCCAUAGGAACUAAAUCAGAGAGAAUAGAACACUCAUCCAUUUGUUUAUUGAAAUCCAUGUGUGAAUUCAAAAUGAUCUACAAUUUCCAAAGUUCUUUAGCCUAUCACUUUAAUAAUUCAAUAUUUAAUUUAGGCCUAAAUUGUGUGUUGGUGCUUGAAAAAACAAGGUAAAAUAGUGAUGCCAGUGAUUUUGAAGUUUGGAGCUUUAGAUCCCGGAGGUUUUGACUUCUGUGGUGGAUGACCGUUCAAAAUUAUUUUUCCCAGUCGGAGCUUGUUUUCCCAAAUUCCCAGUUGUCAUAAACACACUGUCAACACUAGUCACUUUACUAAUGCCACUUUAGAGACUGAAAAACAACUUCUAUCUCAAGGCCAUCAGACUGUUAAAUAGCCAUCACUAGCACAUUAGAGGCUGCUGCCUAUAUACAUAAACUGGAAAUCACUGGUCACUUUAGUAAUGUUUACAUAUUUUGCAUUACUCGUCUCAUAUGUAUAUACUGUAUUCUAUACUAUCUACUGUAUCUUAUUCUAUGCCGCUGUGACAUUGCUCAUCCAUAUAUUUAUACCUUCUAAUUCCAUUCCUUUACUUAGAUUUGUGUGUAUUAGGUUUUUGUUGUGGAAUUGUUAGAUAUUACCUGUUAGAUAUUGCUGCACUGUCGGAGCUAGAAGCACAAGCAUUUCGUUACGCUCGCAAUAACAUCUGCUAAACCAUGUGACCAAUAACAUUUGAUUUGAUGUCUAACGGUUCCGAGUUCCCAGUUGUCUUGAACGCAGUGUGUGUGUGUGUGUGUGUGUGUGUGUGUGUGUCAGUGAUGUCACUACGCAGAGGACGCCUCUUCCUGAUCGUCACUCUGUCCAUUCAUAUCAACCAGAGAGGAAGAGGACGAGAGGCCAACUCGGCGGAAAAUCUGUCUCGCUCAACAACCAAGCAAGGACUUUUUGUAUAGAGGUCAAUGAGAGUGUCGAAUUUGGUCAACAAUAAAACAAUUAUUCGC
rnacentral:lncRNA from 1 species